rnacentral:rRNA from 1 species
AACGAACGCUGGCGGCAGGCCUAACACAUGCAAGUCGAACGUGAAGCCACCUUCGGGUGGGGGAAAGUGGCAGACGGGUGAGUAACGCGUGGGAACGUGCCUUACGGUUCGGAAUAACCCAGGGAAACUUGGGCUAAUACCGGAUACGCCCUUCGGGGGAAAGAUUCAUCGCGGAAAGAUCGGCCCGCGGCGGAUUAGCUAGGUGGUAGGGUAACGGCCGACCAAGGCGCGGAGCCGUAGCUGGUCUGAGAGGCUGACCAGCCACACUGGGACUGAGACACGGCCCAGACUCCUACGAGAGGCAGCAGUGGGGAAUAUUGGACAAUGGUCGAAAGCCUGAUCCAGCCAUGCCGCGUGGGUGAAGAAGGCCUUAGGGUUGUAAACCCCUUUCAGCGGGGAAGAUAAUGACGGUACCCGCAGAAGAAGCCCCGGCUAACUCCGUGCCAGCCGCCGCGGUAACAC